GCCAAGCUGAGUGGACCAGUUGAGACAAUUCAAACUGAGGUUGAAUUCAAAUAAGUGCACUAUCAGAGUGCGGUCCGGUAAGAUGUUGGGGUUCAUUGUAAGAGAGGAAUCAAGGUUGAUCCUGCUAAAAAAAAAAAUAAAAAAAAAAAAAAGAAGUGCCUGAACCGAGAACAGAAAAGAGGUUCGUGGUCUACUAGGUAGAUUGAAC
rnacentral:lncRNA from 1 species